rnacentral:rRNA from 1 species
UUAAGCGACUAAGCGUACACGGUGGAUGCCCUGGCAGUCAGAGGCGAUGAAGGACGUGCUAAUCUGCGAUAAGCGUCGGUGAGGUGAUAUGAACCGUUAUAACCGGCGAUUUCCGAAUGGGGAAACCCAGUGUGUUUCGACACACUAUCAUUAACUGAAUCCAUAGGUUAAUGAGGCGAACCGGGGGAACUGAAACAUCUAAGUACCCCGAGGAAAAGAAAUCAACCGAGAUUCCCCCAGUAGCGGCGAGCGAACGGGGAGGAGCCCAGAGCCUGAAUCAGUGUGUGUGUUAGUGGAAGCGUCUGGAAAGGCGCGCGAUACAGGGUGACAGCCCCGUACACAAAAAUGCACAUAUUGUGAGCUCGAUGAGUAGGGCGGGACACGUGGUAUCCUGUCUGAAUAUGGGGGGACCAUCCUCCAAGGCUAAAUACUCCUGACUGACCGAUAGUGAACCAGUACCGUGAGGGAAAGGCGAAAAGAACCCCGGCGAGGGGAGUGAAAAAGAACCUGAAACCGUGUACGUACAAGCAGUGGGAGCCUCUUAAUGGGGUGACUGCGUACCUUUUGUAUAAUGGGUCAGCGACUUAUAUUCUGUAGCAAGGUUAACCGAAUAGGGGAGCCGAAGGGAAACCGAGUCUUAACUGGGCGUUAAGUUGCAGGGUAUAGACCCGAAACCCGGUGAUCUAGCCAUGGGCAGGUUGAAGGUUGGGUAACACUAACUGGAGGACCGAACCGACUAAUGUUGAAAAAUUAGCGGAUGACUUGUGGCUGGGGGUGAAAGGCCAAUCAAACCGGGAGAUAGCUGGUUCUCCCCGAAAGCUAUUUAGGUAGCGCCUCGUGAAUUCAUCUCCGGGGGUAGAGCACUGUUUCGGCAAGGGGGUCAUCCCGACUUACCAACCCGAUGCAAACUGCGAAUACCGGAGAAUGUUAUCACGGGAGACACACGGCGGGUGCUAACGUCCGUCGUGAAGAGGGAAACAACCCAGACCGCCAGCUAAGGUCCCAAAGUCAUGGUUAAGUGGGAAACGAUGUGGGAAGGCCCAGACAGCCAGGAUGUUGGCUUAGAAGCAGCCAUCAUUUAAAGAAAGCGUAAUAGCUCACUGGUCGAGUCGGCCUGCGCGGAAGAUGUAACGGGGCUAAACCAUGCACCGAAGCUGCGGCAGCGACGCUUAUGCGUUGUUGGGUAGGGGAGCGUUCUGUAAGCCUGUGAAGGUGGCCUGUGAGGGUUGCUGGAGGUAUCAGAAGUGCGAAUGCUGACAUAAGUAACGAUAAAGCGGGUGAAAAGCCCGCUCGCCGGAAGACCAAGGGUUCCUGUCCAACGUUAAUCGGGGCAGGGUGAGUCGACCCCUAAGGCGAGGCCGAAAGGCGUAGUCGAUGGGAAACAGGUUAAUAUUCCUGUACUUGGUGUUACUGCGAAGGGGGGACGGAGAAGGCUAUGUUGGCCGGGCGACGGUUGUCCCGGUUUAAGCGUGUAGGCUGGUUUUCCAGGCAAAUCCGGAAAACCAAGGCUGAGGCGUGAUGACGAGGCACUACGGUGCUGAAGCGACAAAUGCCCUGCUUCCAGGAAAAGCCUCUAAGCAUCAGGUAACAUCAAAUCGUACCCCAAACCGACACAGGUGGUCAGGUAGAGAAUACCAAGGCGCUUGAGAGAACUCGGGUGAAGGAACUAGGCAAAAUGGUGCCGUAACUUCGGGAGAAGGCACGCUGAUAUGUAGGUGAAGCGACUUGCUCGUGGAGCUGAAAUCAGUCGAAGAUACCAGCUGGCUGCAACUGUUUAUUAAAAACACAGCACUGUGCAAACACGAAAGUGGACGUAUACGGUGUGACGCCUGCCCGGUGCCGGAAGGUUAAUUGAUGGGGUUAGCGGUAACGCGAAGCUCUUGAUCGAAGCCCCGGUAAACGGCGGCCGUAACUAUAACGGUCCUAAGGUAGCGAAAUUCCUUGUCGGGUAAGUUCCGACCUGCACGAAUGGCGUAAUGAUGGCCAGGCUGUCUCCACCCGAGACUCAGUGAAAUUGAACUCGCUGUGAAGAUGCAGUGUACCCGCGGCAAGACGGAAAGACCCCGUGAACCUUUACUAUAGCUUGACACUGAACAUUGAGCCUUGAUGUGUAGGAUAGGUGGGAGGCUUUGAAGUGUGGACGCCAGUCUGCAUGGAGCCGACCUUGAAAUACCACCCUUUAAUGUUUGAUGUUCUAACGUGGGCCCCUAAUCGGGGUUGCGGACAGUGUCUGGUGGGUAGUUUGACUGGGGCGGUCUCCUCCUAAAGAGUAACGGAGGAGCACGAAGGUUGGCUAAUCCUGGUCGGACAUCAGGAGGUUAGUGCAAUGGCAUAAGCCAGCUUGACUGCGAGCGUGACGGCGCGAGCAGGUGCGAAAGCAGGUCAUAGUGAUCCGGUGGUUCUGAAUGGAAGGGCCAUCGCUCAACGGAUAAAAGGUACUCCGGGGAUAACAGGCUGAUACCGCCCAAGAGUUCAUAUCGACGGCGGUGUUUGGCACCUCGAUGUCGGCUCAUCACAUCCUGGGGCUGAAGUAGGUCCCAAGGGUAUGGCUGUUCGCCAUUUAAAGUGGUACGCGAGCUGGGUUUAGAACGUCGUGAGACAGUUCGGUCCCUAUCUGCCGUGGGCGCUGGAGAACUGAGGGGGGCUGCUCCUAGUACGAGAGGACCGGAGUGGACGCAUCACUGGUGUUCGGGUUGUCAUGCCAAUGGCACUGCCCGGUAGCUAAAUGCGGAAGAGAUAAGUGCUGAAAGCAUCUAAGCACGAAACUUGCCCCGAGAUGAGUUCUCCCUGAGACUUAGAGUCUCCUGAAGGAACGUUGAAGACGACGACGUUGAUAGGCCGGGUGUGUAAGCGCAGCGAUGCGUUGAGCUAACCGGUACUAAUGAACCGUGAGGCUUAACCU